UAUGUGGCCGACGCGGUGAAAACCAAUUAAGGUGACGAGUCUUGGACCGUGCGUACAGGUACAGGAGAAGACACCAAUUCCUAAUUAGGGACUCGCGUUUUUGUUCAGAUUAUGAAGCCAAGUGGGACACAAGUUUUUGUCUUUUUUUCAAAGCAAUCUCUUGAUGUGAAGCGGGUUUGAGUCUGCAACUGGAUUAGUCU
rnacentral:misc_RNA from 1 species